rnacentral:rRNA from 1 species
AUUGAACGCUGGCGGCAGGCUUAACACAUGCAAGUCGAGCGGAGAUGAGGUGCUUGCACCUUAUCUUAGCGGCGGACGGGUGAGUAAUGCUUAGGAAUCUGCCUAUUAGUGGGGGACAACAUUCCGAAAGGAAUGCUAAUACCGCAUACGUCCUACGGGAGAAAGCAGGGGAUCUUCGGACCUUGCGCUAAUAGAUGAGCCUAAGUCGGAUUAGCUAGUUGGUGGGGUAAAGGCCUACCAAGGCGACGAUCUGUAGCGGGUCUGAGAGGAUGAUCCGCCACACUGGGACUGAGAGACGGCCCAGACACCUUCGGGAGGCAGCAGUGGGGAAUAUUGGACAAUGGGGGGAACCCUGAUCCAGCCAUGACGCGUGUGUGAAGAAGGCCUUAUGGUUGUAAAGCACUUUAAGCGAGGAGGAGGCUACUGAGACUAAUACUCUUGGAUAGUGGACGUUACUCGCAGAAUAAGCACCGGCUAACUCUGUGCCAGCCGCCGCGGUAACAC